rnacentral:piRNA from 1 species
ACUUCUGAAAUAGGACAAUAAAGC